CCUUAGUACUGGCUAUGGAUGAGUCAGUAUUGGAUGUUGAUAAGGUGGAUAACCUCAUUAAGUUUUGUCCGACCAAAGAGGAGAUGGAACUUUUGAAGGGUCUGUUUGGAAUUGGUUUCUAGAUGGGAGGGAAGGGAAAGGAAAGGGAGGGCUUGUGAGCCAUCUCACAAUUUUAUUUCAUGGCUCUGAAGCCUUUCCUUCCCUCUAUUGCCCUCCAGUAACCAACU